UAGAAAUUCAGUUUAGUACUUUGCAACUACUAACUCCCAGAGUAUCACCGUUUGAAAUAUAACGAUGUCUUGCUUUUAAAUGUUUUUCUUAAAAGUGUGCUUAAGAUCCUUCAUUAAAAUAAAUGCUACUUGGUUUUUAUAUUAGUCAUUCAUGGAUUUCAAGGCGUGUCUAAAGUCUUUUUAAGUGCACAUGGGAAACCCGUUCUAAUCGGAAACAUAACACGGAAGUAGCCUGAACAAAACAAUUGUACACUAUAAAGCCAACUCACAUGCAUACGUGUAAAAUGAUACAAAUAAUUAGUGUCUCUUGUUUUCAUAAAAAGAAACAGAGUUUUUAUCCCUGCUGUAAAUGGCAACUCUACACCUGUCAGUGUUCUUCUUCGGACAAACACUUUUCUGUGGGCGUAAGGGUCAGUAGUGCGCCAUUGAUUUAAAAGGCCUUGACCAGCGCGCUCUUUUCUCAUUGGCUGAUGGGCGGAGUUUGUUUGGCCAAUGAACGCAGACUUUAGUUAAAGACACUGCAGCAAUGCGUUGAGCAGGACGCGCUACAAACUUCACUUUCAAUGGAUGUUUGUCUUAUUUUAAAGACUGAUGUUAGUUAAAAUUACAGCAGAACAGCGAAGGGAGUUCUCUCGGGCGCUUAGCAGUGGCUCAGAUAAGGUGUCCUUCAGCAUAUCAUUAGUUAAAGAUAAUUAACGUGAUGUUUUAGGGCAAUGGAGAGUGAGCAGUCAGGAACAUUUGGAGGCGGCGGAGAAGAUUCAUCAGGCUCCGACACGCUGUCAGAGGGCGAGACGCAAGCAGAGCCGUAUGAAUCCCAGUUACACUUUGAGGAUUUUAAAUGUCAAUCCUCAGAUUUUGUAGGUCUUGACGACAAAGUGAAGGGAAUUGAUUCUGAUGAAUGCAGCAACGAGAUAAAAGCGAGAAAUGGGGAUUACCAAGAAGAGGGAGAAAAUGAUGGAGACGAGGACGAAAUGCAAUGCACCUUUUCAUCCAAAGUUUGUUACAUAAAGUAUCGAGAGCCUUCCAGUGUUGGUGUGGCACAACAUUUAACCAACACUGUGUUUAUUGACUGAGCUUUGAUUGUUGUGCCCUGUGCUGAAGGUUACAUUUGCAUGUGUUAAAUUUGUGUGCUUGAUUAAGCAGAGACACUGAAUAUCUAACUUCAAAUCACACUUUUGAGUAGAACAAACCAUAAUUGGUUCUUGGCAUUAUAUUUUGUGUUUUUGUGUCCCAGUUAAGUAUGAUAACCAUGAGUCUGUGUGCUAAGGUAUCACUUCUGUCAGCUCUGAUUUAUUUUGUGAGUUCAGUGGAGGUGGGUGGAUUGACACUAGCUCUCUUGUUUAUCAGUUGAGCUGGAGGAUGUGGAACUGAUGGAGGUGAUUAAGAUCAUACUCUGUGUUAUGUAACAGCAUCAGGAC
ensembl:lncRNA